AGAAACUUAGGAUAACCAUCAAACCGAAGGCCUUCAAAGCCUUAAAUAAGAGUUAAACCCUCUUAGUUUCUG
rnacentral:tRNA from 2 species